UACGUAGGGGGCAAGCGUUGUCCGGAUUUAUUGGGCGUAAAGAGCGUGUAGGCGGCUAGAUAGGUCCGUUGUGAAAACUCGAGGCUCAACCUCGAGACGUCGAUGGAAACCAUCUGGCUAGAGUCCGGAAGAGGAGAGUGGAAUUCCUGGUGUAGCGGUGAAAUGCGCAGAUAUCAGGAAGAACACCAAUUGCGAAGGCAGCUCGCUGGGACGUUACUGACGCUGAGACGCGAAAGCGUGGGGAGCAAACAGG
rnacentral:rRNA from 1 species